rnacentral:lncRNA from 1 species
CUCCUGCUUUGCUUUUGGUACUGGAACCUGAGCCACGCUCUUCGGUGAAACUGAAAUCACUCAUUCAUUCAAAAAGUGUUUACUGAGUAGCUUCAAAGAGCAAAUAUUAGGUUAGAUGCAGUGGGUGAUGUAAGGAUGAUUCAGACAACUAUUUCUCAUGGACUUUGCUUACUGAGCCAUCAACACACGGCCACCUUUUUCUAGAUGAAGUAUCCCAUCAUUUGAUUCUGGAUUGAGAACUCUUUGAGAGCAGAGACGAUGGCUUCACCUGAGUAUCCCCAGAGCCUGACGUUAGACAAG